rnacentral:rRNA from 1 species
UAGGGAAUUUUCGUCAAUGUGGGCAACCCUGAACGAGCAAUGCCGCGUGAGCGAAGAAGGUCUUCGGAUUGUAAAGCUCUGUUGCCGGGGAAAAAGGAAGGAAAGAGGAAAUGCUUUUCUUUGGAUGGUACCCGGCCAGAAAGUCACGGCUAACUACGUGCC